UUGGGAACCUGACGAGUCUCC
rnacentral:miRNA from 1 species